UACGUAGGGUGCGAGCGUUGUCCGGAAUUACUGGGCGUAAAGAGCUCGUAGGUGGUUUGUCGCGUUGUUCGUGAAAACUCACAGCUUAACUGUGGGCGUGCGGGCGAUACGGGCAGACUGGAGUACUGCAGGGGAGACUGGAAUUCCUGGUGUAGCGGUGGAAUGCGUAGAUAUCUGGAGGAACACCGGUGGCGAAGGCGGCAUCCUGGACCGGCAUUGACGCUGAGGCGCGAAAGCUAGGGGAGCAAACGGG
rnacentral:rRNA from 1 species